ACCUUACUGGCCUUAGCCACUGCUGAUUGACAUUGCACAUUGUUGCAUAGUUUGUUGUUUAUAACAAUCCCCAAGUCCUUUUCGUGUGUUGUUAUCCCUAAUUCGCUUCCAUUAUAGGUAUACGUUGCUUGUGCAUUCUUUACGCCGAAGUGCAUAACUUUGCAUUUUUCAACAUUAAAUGUAAUCUGCCAUUUGAGUGUCCUGUCC